rnacentral:lncRNA from 1 species
GGUGGAAUUAGUUCCUGUGUCCUAAAUGCUCAACUUUCUGUAGGACAUCAUUAGAACUCACACUCCGUCUCUGCUUUUAGAUAUGUGAGACAAUGAGCUGUUUUCAACAAAUGUGAACAAUGGCUGUUUACCAGUUAGCUUCUGUCUUCAUUUGGGUUCCCAGAAACAGAUACUGAGAUGGAGAUCUAUGUACAGGACUUUUAUUGGAUGUGUUUCUGUUUCUCCCCCUGGAAAUAGGCAAGAAGUCCUCCUACUCAAUACAUGUCACUAGUUGGAGCAGUGGGUCAUGGCCAGAAGUGUGUCUUCAGUGGGUUGAAUUGAUUAAUGCAAGUUCCUUGAAGGAGGAAAAAAUCUCUCCACUGAUCAGCUUGUUUUUUCUAAAUCGCAUCCUAUGCUACUCCACAGCAGAGGAAGGCCCAGAACUCAAAACUACGUCUAUGUGGCCCAAGCACACAUCACCUAUGGAUACUUGACUCAUCACCUAUAACAGGGACAUUUGGGC